rnacentral:rRNA from 1 species
CCUACGGGAGGCAGCAGUGAGGAAUAUUGGUCAAUGGACGAGAGUCUGAACCAGCCAAGUAGCGUGAAGGAUGACUGCCCUAUGGGUUGUAAACUUCUUUUAUAUGGGAAUAAAAUGUUCCACGUGUGGGAUUUUGUAUGUACCAUAUGAAUAAGGAUCGGCUAACUCCGUGCCAGCAGCCGCGGUAAUACGGUGGAUCCGAGCGUUCUCCGGAUUUAUUGGGUUUAAAGGGAGCGUAGGUGGAUUGUUAAGUCAGUUGUGAAAGUUUGCGGCGCAACCGUAAAAUUGCAGUUGAAACUGGCAGUCUUGAGGACAGUAGAGGUGGGCGGAAGUCGUGGUGUAGCGGUGAAAUGCUUAGAUAUCACGAAGAACUCCGAUUGCGAAGGCAGCUCACUGGACUGCAACUGACACUGAGGCUCGAAAGCGUGGGGAGCAAACAGGAUUAGAUACCCUUGUAGUC